UGAACGCUAGCGGCAGGCUUAACACAUGCAAGUCGAGGGGCAGCAUAAACAUUGCUUGCAAUGUUUGAUGGCGACCGGCGCACGGGUGCGUAACGCGUAUGUAACCUACCUCAAACAGGGGCAUAACACUGAGAAAUUGGUACUAAUUCCCCAUAACACUUAAGGAGGCAUCUCCUUAGGUUGAAAGUUCCGGCGGUUUGAGAUGGUCUCGCGUCUGAUUAGCUAGUUGGCGGGGUAACGGCCCACCAAGGCGACGAUCAGUAGCCGGUCUGAGAGGAUGAACGGCCACAUUGGGACUGAGAUACGGCCCAGACUCCUACGGGAGGCAGCAGUGAGGAAUAUUGGUCAAUGGUCGAGAGACUGAACCAGCCAUGCCGCGUGAAGGUCACGGCCCUAUGGGUCUUAAACUUCUUUUGUAAGGGAGCAAUAAGGUUCACGUGUGGACUGAUGAGAGUACCUUACGAAUAAGCAUCGGCUAACUCCGUG
rnacentral:rRNA from 1 species